CACUGUCUCAGCCCUCGCCCCUAUGGAAACCCUAAAUCGCUAAUCUCACUCUGGCCUCUAGUCUCUGCCUCUCCCUCUCGCUCUCAGUCUCAGUACUCGCCGAAGUCGGAGUCGUCGCCUCAGGCAAGCCUCACCGCUCGUCUAUUCUCAACCAGUGAAGCCGGCCUCAUCGAGUUGCGGCUCAUCUUCUCAGUUCUCAGACCUCGCCGAAGCUUGGAGUCGUCUUUCGCCGCUCGUCUUUACCCGAGCACGCCCUCAAAUCUCUGAGUCUCAUAGAUUCACUGUUCGCUCGCGGCUCGCCCCCAACGCCUCAAAUCAAAACCUUUCAUUCUUUCAAAGAUGGAUUUUGCUCCAUUCAAACAAUGGUACCUUCAGCACUAUGGCAUUGAUAUUGGUAGGAAGAAGAAGCCGGUUGUUGCUAAGAAGGAAACAAAUGAGGGCUGAACUGAUGAAGAAAACAAAUGGACAAUGUUUCCCGAAAGAUGUAUGUCGUAGAUUUGACUUAAUUAUUUCAAGGUAUCAACUCGGAUAAAUUAUAUGUAUAUUCGGUCUACUGUUGUAAGCUUCCUUUUUCUUCACUUUUGGUUGUUAUAAAAAAUUUUGGUAUCACAACUUUUCUCAUAUAUGAGAUCA